CUGGCUCAGGAUGAACGCUGGCGGCGUGCCUAACACAUGCAAGUCGAGCGAGGGGAAAAGAGCUUGCUCUUGGAACCUAGCGGCGGACGGGUGAGUAACGCGUGGGUAACCUGCCCUAUACACACGGAUAACAUACCGAAAGGUAUGCUAAUACGGGAUAAAGCUAAGAUAAGGCAUCUUAUCGUAGUC
rnacentral:rRNA from 1 species